ACGAGUAUGAAAGACAAGCUGAAAGACUUUUCUAAAUGAUGUAAGUGGUGGUGCAUGGUCGUUCUUAGUUCGUGGAUUGAUUUGUCUGGUCUAUUCCGAUAACGAGCGAGACCCCGACGUUCCUAAUAGGGAUGUGCAGCCCAGCUCGUGCUCACGCACUUGUUAGCAGCCGUCUCAUUAGCUUCUUAGACGUAUCAGAGCCGAUAAGGUUCUUGAAAUGGGUUAAUAACAGGUCAGUCAUGCCCUUAGAUGUUCUGGGCCGCACGCGCGUUACAAUGGUAUACAUAGAAAGUGCUCACAAGGGCGUCUCCGCAGCCGACAGGCUGCGGUAACCCCUAAUCUCUCCCUUGACUGGGACAGACUAUUGCAAUUAUUGGUCUCAAACGAGGAAUUUUUAGUAGUCGCAGGUCAUUAACCUGCGACGA
rnacentral:rRNA from 1 species